rnacentral:sRNA from 1 species
CUUACCGCUAAGAGCCGGGUUGCUCCCAU